rnacentral:tRNA from 1 species
GCGCGCGUGGCGCAGUGGUAGCGCACUUGCAUGACACGCAAGGGGUCACAGGUUCGAAUCCUGUCGCGCGCACCA